GAUGAACGCUGGCGGCGUGCCUAACACAUGCAAGUCGAACGGAGAUUACGGACGGAAGUUUUCGGAUGGAAGCCUGUAAUUCUUAGUGGCGGACGGGUGAGUAACGCGUGGGCAACCUGCCCUAUACAGGGGGAUAGCAGCUGGAAACGGCUGGUAAGACCGCAUAAGUCGGUUAAAUCGCAUGAUUUGAUCGGGAAAUGAGCAUCAGGUAUAGGAUGGGCCCGCGUCCGAUUAGCCAGUUGGCAGGGUAAAAGCCUACCAAAGCGACGAUCGGUAGCCGGACUGAGAGGUCGGACGGCCACAUUGGGACUGAGACACGGCCCAAACUCCUACGGGAGGCAGCAGUGGGGGAUAUUGCACAAUGGAGGAAACUCUGAUGCAGCGACGCCGCGUGAGUGAAGAAGUAUUUCGGUAUGUAAAGCUCUAUCAGCAGGGAAGAUGAUGACGGUACCUGACUAAGAAGCCCCGGCUAACUACGUG
rnacentral:rRNA from 1 species